UCUGUAAUAACAACUAGUAUUAUUUAUAAUGAAAUUAAUGAGAUUAAAUUUUAGAGAAUUAAAUACCCUUUUAAUUAAUUGAUCAUAUUUAUAUGUUGCAAAUGGUUUAAGACUUCGCUUAUGAAUCCAAGCACAUUCAAGUUUUUCUUCAUUAAAGAAUGAAUCAGAGAAUUUUUAGGCAAUUUAUAAUAUGUAAAAGUAUCAGGACAAUCAUUUAUUAUUCCAGGCCACCAUGGAAAACCUUUCAUAUGUGCCCAAACAAUACUACCUGCAUUAUAAGCAUUUUCAAUUAAAUUAAAUUUAAUGGCAAGUGAGUUAGGAUGUUCUGGUAUAUUACAAGAUGCCAUUGAUUUAUCUGUGAGAUCAUACGCAUUAAUAUUAAUACAUAUGUAUGUAUAAAAUAUAUAAAAUUUAAAAAAAAAAA